ensembl:lncRNA
CUGAGAUGGCAAGCAUUCAAGAGAGACUUAAAAUCCCGAAAGCUUGCUAGGGAAAGCAAAGAUGGCUCUACCACACUUUGUUCUUCUCUGGAGUCCCCCACUCCCUAUGUGGGUACUGUUCCCUUUGCCUUCAAACUCCUUGCUUCUGGGGAGAGCUCACAGUGUGAGAGAGGACAAUGCCUACAAUUAGGCUGUGCUUCUGUAACAGCUGUAGGGUCAGUUGGACUAUUCACACGCAUUAGAUUACAUGUAUAGUACAUUGAGUAUGUGACUUGCUAGUGUUAAUCUGCAUCUGUUUCUUUUUAUUGCUGCUUGGGGGCAUAUUUUUACAAAGAAUGGCCAUUUCAGCAAAGCCUGCAUGCUCCCUAAACACAGAUCUGAAGUCCUGCCAAGCAUCUGUGGAUGGCAAGAAGUCAGUAUUGUGAAUAGCAUGUCCCUCCUUUGUAUUAAAUUAGUGAUGUUACUGCAGUGCCUAGAGGCAGCAAAUUAGAUUUAGGGUCUCAUUCUGCUAGGUCUUGUGCAGGCAAAUCAGAUGACACUGCCUCUUCCUUAGGGAACUUCCAGUUUUGCAAGUCUGCCUCUCAAGUGCAAUUACAGAGAGCUUUGAUUUGGGGAGACGGUGUGGGAUGAAGGAAUGUCAAAGCAGAUCUGGUUUACAAAUUGCAGCAAGUGACAAUGCUGCCGUGGUCAAAGCUGAGGAGACUGUUAAAAAAAUGGUACUAUAUCCUCCCUGGAUGACAGUGAAUCAUAUAAAAUGAACCCUAAG